rnacentral:rRNA from 1 species
GAUGAACGCUAGCUACAGGCUUUAACACAUGCAAGUCGCGGGGCAGCAUGAAUUUAGCUUGCUAAAUUUGAUGGCGACCGGCGCACGGGUGAGUAACGCGUAUCCAACCUUCCCUUAUCCACGGGAUAGCCCGUCGAAAGGCGGAUUAAUACCGUAUGAGGUCACAUGACGGCAUCCGAUUGUGACGAAAGGUUUGGCGGAUAAGGAUGGGGAUGCGUCCGAUUAGCUUGUUGGCGGGGUAACGGCCCACCAAGGCGACGAUCGGUAGGGGUUCUGAGAGGAAGGUCCCCCACAUUGGAACUGAGACACGGGUCCAAACUCCUACGGGAGGCAGCAGUGAGGAAUAUUGGUCAAUGGGCGAGAGCCUGAACCAGCCAAGUAGCGUGCAGGACGACGGCCCUAAUGGGUUGUAAACUGCUUUUAUGCGGGGAUAAACGUGGCCACGUGUGGCCAUUUG